AAUUAUCCAAAAUCUAAAAAUAUAAUUUUAAAAAGAGAUAAUUUCUGUAAAUAUUGUAUUGUUAUCUGAAAUUUUUUUUUAAAAAAGAUAUAGUUUAUGUAAAUAUUGUAUUAUUAUCUGAAAAAGUCUUUUAAUCAAAAGUUAAAAACAUGAAUUAUAUAACUAAAUAUUAAUCAAAUAAAAUUCUUAAUUAUAUAAUUAAAAAUAGAAUAUUGAAUCUAUACUAUUUUUUGCGAAGUAGAUUUUUGGAAUCGAGUUCUCAUGUUAAAAGUUAGAGUGGUUAAUAUUGUUUAUACCCUUAAUGAAUAAAAUGUAUAACUAAAUUUAAAAAUAAAAACGAAAUUUUAAUUUAUUUGAUUAGAUAAUGGAUUAAAAUUAAUAAUAGUAAGAAUUAUUCAAAAUCUGAAAAUAUAACUAUAAAAAGAGAUAAUUUCUGUAAAUAUUGUAUUGCUAUAUGGAAAAAAGGAAUAGUUUUAAAAAGAAAUAAUUUAUGUAAAUAUUGUAUUAUUAUCUGAAAAAGUCUUUUAUAAAAAGUUAAAAACAUGAAUUAUAUAACUAAAUAUUAAUCAAAUAAAAUUAUUAAUUAUAUAAUUAAAAAUAUAAUAUUGAAUUAUUCAAAAUAUAAAAAUAUAAUUACAAAAAAAAAGAUAAUUUCUAAAUAUAUAUUGUAUUGUUAUCUGAAAAAGUAUUUUAGUAAAAAGUUUAAACAUAAAUUAUAUAAUUAAAUAUUAAUGAAAUAAUAUUUUUAAUUAUAUAAUUAAAAAUAUAAUAUUAAGUAUUUAAGAUUUAUUUUAGUAUAGUAAAUAUAGUAUACAAAGAACUUUUCAAAAAUUAUGAAAAUGUUUAAACCCGCAUCGCGGACAAAAUACCUAGUAUAUCUAAAUUAAUCGGUUUCUUUUGUUUAUUUGAUUUGAUCCUUUAAUAUACUGAACCAUAUUCAUAUACUGCUGUUUUUAAAAAAAUAAAAUCCUCGAGACUUCCAAAUCCAUAAUAUUUUCUCUAUUUCGGUUUGGUUCUAUUGUGAAUGGUUCGGUUUUACCCGAUUAAACACUCCUAAACUAUUGUUAUUUUGUUAAUGUUUUAUAUCUGUGAUUUUUUUAUAAUUUGUUUUAGUACCACAUGAUUUCUUUUAAGUCCAAAUCAAUAUAUGAAAAAUAAAUAAAACAUUUCAAUAAUACUUAUUAUAAACUAUAUUUAGUCAACUAUAUCAGUUUAUGUUACUUAAUUAUUUUAUAUAAUCAUCUAAGAAUAUAUAUAUAUAUAUAUAUAUAUAUAUAUAUUUCUAUUACUUUAAAUUAUUUUGUAUUGUCUAAAAUUAUGUUCUAAAAGAAAUAAAAUUAUUUUUCUAAUAUCAGGAUUAUCUAUGUAAAUUGUUUUUUACAAAAUCACAUUAUAUAAAAAAUUAUAUUUUUCAUCUAAGAAAGUAUUUUAUUACUUCAAAAGUAUAUUUUUGUUACUUAAAAUAUUUUUUAAAUGUAAUAUUACUAUUUUGUGAACUUUUGUUUUAUGAAAUCAUAUUAUAUAUACAUAUAUUUUCGUUUUAUUAUAUGUAUAUGUUUUUGGAAAGUUUUUAACAAGGAAACUAAAUAAAUAAUAAAUAAUAGUAUUUUAAAUAUAAUAUUUUUAAUUCAUUAAGAGUAUUAGUGUAAUCAAAUCAUCGUAAGAGUUAAUGUGAGAAUGACACAUAAGAAAAUGACUUCUCAAAUAAUAUUAUAGUGUGUAUUCAGCAGCAUUCGUACUUAAUUAAAUCAAAAUGAUUUGAUUUUAUUUUUCAUUGUAGACACUUAUAUUGAACCAAACAAUUUUUUGUAAACCAAUUCUUAAUUAAAUCAAACCGAUUUGUACCUUUUAUUCUUAAAAUGUCAACGAUACAUCUAAUUAACUUUAUAUAAUAACUAAACAUUAGGUUUAAAUCUUCAUUUAUACAAGCAUGGAUUAUUUAUCUUACACUAGUGGUAUUCCGGCGCCACGCGCCGGAUUCAUAUAUUUUGUUCUCUAAUGAAUUUAUAAUGGUUUAUUUGAUACGUGUUAGUAAUUGUAAUGUAUUACUUUGUUUUGUAGUUUUCUUAGAUCAAAGAAGAAUAGCAUAAAUAGCUUUCAUACAUUAAUGCAAUAAAAUAGAAUAAAUACUGAUAAUUGCACAAAAUAAAUAUGGUUGAACUUAAAAUAUAAAGUACAGUCGAUGAAAAAAUGUUGAGUGAUGCAUGAUAUAUGUUGAUAAUAAUGUAAAUCCCCUAUUGUUUGAAUAAGUUUCUCCUACUCGAAAAAAAAAACAAAAAUGUUAAAGCAACAACCCGGUUCAUCCAAACCGGAUAAUUAAUUUUAAUACAACAAUAUGUCUUUUUAUAUUUUAUCUGAUAUCAUAUAUAUAAAUUACACUAAGACUUUAUAAACUAAUUCACUCCAUUACUAAUUGGUAAACAUAAUAUAGUCAAGUUAAUACACUUCACUAUUAAUAUAAAAUUCCAUAUUUUAAAUAAUUAUUAUUUAAAAUAUACUUAUUCAAUAUAUUUAUUAGUAUGAGUACUAUAAAAAGAGUGAAAUUUUACAAAUAUAUUAUUAUUGUUAAAAGAAUUCUAAUUAUAUUUACAUAUAAUUAUAUAAAUAUAAAAUAUUUCCUCUAACACUACAUUCAAAAAUACAUUUCCAAGUAUAGUUUAAUUAUAGUGGUACGUUUCCUCAUAACGACAACCCCGCAUUUGUAAUUGUUUUUUCUAUUUUUAUAUUUUUUUUAAAUUAAAGCUAAACUCCAAUUAUUAUAUUCAGACUCUAACACUCUAAACCUAUAAGUUAUAUCCCAAUUCAUAAAUUUUAACACAAAAUCUAUUUUUCUUUGUACUUUUGAUAGCAGAUAGAAGUGUUUCUUGUGUUUGAGAGAUGAGGUGAAAACUAAUGGUGCUAUGGAGUAACGGCUUACUGUGGGAAAUUGUAUCGUUACGUAGUCAAUCAAAGCAGCAGGUGUGCUUAUGAUUACCAUUGGACUAAUCAUAACGCUAUUGCUUGCACAUAAGGGUGCUUCUACUAAAAAAAGAUUUUAAAUUAAUUGCAUCAGAGGCAUCAAGACGCAGUCCAGGGUUACACAUUCUACAUUGAAUCUCAUCAACAAAAAAAUUCUGCAUAACAGCAUCUAGAAACAUCGUAAAUAAGAUGAUCAAAAGUAAUAAAGACAUAAUCCUCCACUUACCCGAAAGAAGAAGUCAUACAAUUGAAAGAGAUGGUAUUUGUCAGCGGGAUCAUGAUGAUUGACAUACUUGAGAAGUUUGAUCUCAUCACGGCUCUGGACAAAAAAGUCUUUGUUGUUCUUUAUGAUCUUUGGUUCAUUCUCAUUAUAGAGUGCAUGCACUAAACCACGAGAGAUAAUAUAUAGUAACUUCGGUGUGCAAAGAAGAAAAAUGAGAAAUGUGGUGCAUAGAAAAGACCAGAGAUAAUCAAAGUGAAUAUCAAUUUUAUUCAAACGUUUAUUAUUUCGAGUUUAACUAAACAUGAACUAUGAAGCAAGGCUAACCAUGACGAAAUAAUCCUAGAAGAGCCAAUGUUUUUCCUUGAGUGACGAGUUUUAUUAGCAAGAACUCAGCCACAUUGCGUUUAUUCAGCGUUAUACAACAACACAAAUUAGAUUCCGAGGUUCUCAGGAAUCAGAAGAAGGUGAAUCAUUAACAGGAUGCCAGAACCUGUUG